rnacentral:sRNA from 1 species
UCCGUAGGUGAACCUGCGGAAGGAUCAUUUUUGAACCAUAUUAACACUGUGACGAGCCCUUGCGUAGCGAGGGCGACUGCUUCCGGUUCGCCGGAUUAUUUUUUUAACCAUUUCUGAUAAUGUUAGUGAAAAACUUUCAACAACGGAUCUCUUGGUUCUCGCAUCGAUGAAGAACGCAGCAAAGCGCGAUAGGUAAUGCGAAUUGCAGACGUGAGUCAUUGAAUCUUUGAACGCACAUUGCGCCAGUUUACUGGCAUACUGCGUUGAGCGUCGGCCUUCCUCCACAGGUGCUGCUACUUACAGUAGUGAAAGGCAUGGAAACGCACCCGUUAGCAAACCGGUGCUGACCUACAAAUUCGACCUCAGCGUAGUAAGAUUACCCGCUGAACUUAAGCAUAUCAAUAAGCGGAGGAAAAGAAACCAACAGGGAUUGCCCUAGUAAUGGCGAAUGAACAGGCAAAAGCUCAGAUUUGAAACCCUCGGGAUUGUAAUCUGGAGACCUGGAUUUGGCACGCUGACCAAGUCUUCUGGAACGGAGCGCCAUGGAGGGUGACAGCCCCGUAGCAGCAGCCGCAGUAAAUCCGGGUCGACGAGUCGAGUUGUUUGGGAAUGCAGCUCUAAGUGGGUGGUAUGCUCCAUCUAAAGCUAAAUAUUGGCGAGAGACCGAUAGCGAACAAGUACUGUGAAGGAAAGAUGAAAAGAACUUUGAAAAGAGAGUGAAAAAGUACGUGAAAUUGUUGAAAUGGAAGGCAAUGAGGUGCGAUUGACCCGGACGUUUGCGGGCAGCACAAAAGCGCAGGCCGCCUCGGCAUUGCCUGCGUGCAUACUGCCUCGCGGACCACCGGUUCUAACAACGCCUUAUUGCACCCGUCUUGAAACACGGACC